GACGAACGCUGGCGGCGUGCUUAACACAUGCAAGUCGAACGGAAAGGCCCUGCUUUUGUGGGGUGCUCGAGUGGCGAACGGGUGAGUAACACGUGAGUAACCUGCCCUUGACUUUGGGAUAACUUCAGGAAACUGGGGCUAAUACCGGAUAAGAGCUCCUGCUGCAUGAUGGGGGUUGGAAAGUUUCGGCGGUUGGGGAUGGACUCGCGGCUUAUCAGCUUGUUGGUGGGGUAGUGGCUUACCAAGGCUUUGACGGGUAGCCGGCCUGAGAGGGUGACCGGCCACAUUGGGACUGAGAUACGGCCCAGACUCCUACGGGAGGCAGCAGUGGGGAAUAUUGCACAAUGGGCGGAAGCCUGAUGCAGCAACGCCGCGUGCGGGAUGACGGCCUUCGGGUUGUAAACCGCUUUCGCCUGUGACGAAGCGUGAGUGACGGUAAUGGGUAAAGAAGCACCGGCUAACUACGUG
rnacentral:rRNA from 1 species